rnacentral:rRNA from 1 species
CACGUAGGUAGCCGGGGCUUCUUAGUCAGGUACCGUCAUUUUCUUCCCUGCUGAUAGAGCUUUACAUACCGAAAUACUUCAUCGCUCACGCGGCGUCGCUGCAUCAGGGUUUCCCCCAUUGUGCAAUAUUCCCCACUGCUGCCUCCCGUAGGAGUUUGGGCCGUGUCUCAGUCCCAAUGUGGCCGGUCACCCUCUCAGGUCGGCUACUGAUCGUCGCCUUGGUGGGCCGUUACCCCGCCAACUAGCUAAUCAGACGCGGGCCCAUCUCAUACCACCGGAGUUUUUACCGCUGUACCAUGCGGUACCGCGGUCUUAUGCGGUAUUAGCAGUCAUUUCUAACUGUUAUCCCCCUGUAUGAGGCAGGUUGCCCACGCGUUACUCACCCGUCCGCCGCUCAGUCAGACUGCUUCGCCUCCGAAGAUUUAAAGCAGAAUGCUUCGCUCGACUUGCAUGUGUUAAGCACGCCGCCAGCGUUCAUCCUGAGCCAGGAUCAAACU